AUUACAGCUCAUUAGGAAUGGUUUAUUUUUCAAGUUAUCAGGGGCAUGUAGUUCAUUAUUUUGUUCAGUGGGUUGCUCACCGUGUCUUUCGAGCUAGCAACAUCAUCAAAUUGGUUUAGGUAGGUGCAAAAAAAAUUCAUAGAAAUGAGUUCAAAGGAAGUAUUUGUGGAUCCAUCUCAGGUGAAAGCUUGAUCUUUGAUCUUUUCAAUUUUGCACAUAAUGUUGGAGACAAUGGAAGUGUUGUUUGGGAGACUUACAGAUUGGUCCGGCUCGGGAGAAAUAGUUGUUGAGGAAGAGGUCCUCCAAUGAUCUAUCAAUCCUUAUCUAUCACAUACCCUUUGACCCGAACGCAACUUGUGUGUGGGUUAAUAAGGUAAAAGUACUUAAUUUCUUCUUAUGGAGGCCUACAUUAGACAUUCGUGUUAUUGAUGAUAUUGUGGGCACUACUAUCGUAUGGUCAAUUGAUAAAGUCAAACUAUGUAAGAAGAUUUAUUUAUUACUUUGUGAAUUCAGUAUUUAUUUAGUUCAUUAGCUAAUCUAUUUUGUUAAAGUU